CUGUAGCAGUCCCCAGCGGUGGCAAAAGGGACUGGAUGUCCUUCGCUUGUCCUGGCAAACUGGAACACCGUGGACACGUGAGCUGUCUUUAAUGACUCCUAUGAUUAAUGUCCCUAACAACAAUGCAGCAUUGGCCAGACUAUGAAAUCAGCCCACACGCAGGCGAGCUGAAAAAAAGGGCCAGGCUACCUUGUUGGAAAGUGGGUGACCAGACCAGUCAAAGAACAAAUGGAGAAAUUGACAGCAGUGUGUCCUGAAUCUGCUAUGCAGUCUUUUGUCAAAAGGAAGAGGAGGUACAAAAUCCAUUUAUCUAACGUUGUUUGAAAUGAAAAAAGAAAAAAGCAAUCUUCAAAUUACCAACUGGUUCAUUGUAAAAGUCAGGUAUAUGGUGUUUGGACAUCUUUACCCCCAGAGAGUAUACUUGCAAGGGAAAAAGGCAGAAAUUAUACUAUGGAGAUAGCUCGUAACUCAUUCAUUCCCUCAUUCAACCAAUACAGGUGGACGUCAGAGACAUGGCAGGUUUGGUUCCAGACCACCACCAAUGAGUAUCACCAUAAAGUGAGUCAUAUGAGUUUCCUGGUUUCCAGUGCAUAUAAAAGUUAUAUUUAUACUACAGUCUACUAAAUGUGCAAUAGUAUUAUGUCUUAAAACACAAUGUACAUAAUUUAAAAAUAAUUUAAUGCUAAAAAAUGCUAACCAUCACCUCAGCCUUCAGUGUGUACUAGUAGUAACAUCAAAGAUCACUGAUCACAAAUCACUGUAACACACACAAUAGAGAAAAAUUUUGGAAUAUUGCAGUAAUUACCAAACGUGACACAGAGACACAAUGCGCAAAUACUGUCAGAAAAAUGGUGCAGACAUACUUGCUCAACUCAGGGUUGCCAUGAACCUUCAAUUUGUAAAAAAAAAAAAAAAACCCAAAAAACCAAAAAAAAAAACCAACCUGAAAAAACCAACACACACAGUACCUGCAAAGUGCAAUAAAGUAACACACAAGAAAAUGAGGUCUGCCUGUUUGCUACGUGCCACGGUCUGUGCUGGGCACAGGGAUACAGCCCUGGCAUCUUCCUACUCCCCUUCUCUCUCUGUUAUGACACCUGGGUGGCUGCUCCUCCCAGCUUGGGGUCCAUGUGUCAAGACUGGCUAACUGGUGACCCUUGAGGUUUACACUCAGGGCCGCCUAGAAUGGCCGUGUGAGCAGGUCUGACUUUCGUAACAGACAGUGUGAUGCAGGUAGCAGCCAUCAGCUGUGACAGCGGGGUAAGAGGAAGGACCAGGGGCUAGGAUUCCCACAAUGUUGAAAGGGGUGCCUGGGCAGUGGCAGAAGAGGUGGAGCUGAGUUAAGUAGGCACGGGGGAGAUGGAGAGAUGAGGGCACUCUCAGGAGGGGCUCAGCAUGCAUGGCUGCAGGUGGCUGUUACGGGGAAGUGGGGUAGGGAAGUGACUCUAGCAGUUUGGGGUUGUUAAAGCCUUUGGUUUGAACCUAAAUAAGCAAUUCUCCAAGGAAGAAAUACAAAUGAUCAAUAGGCACAUGAAAAAAUGCUCAAGAUCACUAAUUAUCAGAGAAAUGUAAAUCAAAACUACAAUGAGGUAUCACCUCACACCAGUCAGAAUGGCCAUCAUUCAAAAGUCCACAAAUGACGAAUGUUGGAGAGGCUGUGGAGAAAAGGGAACCCUCCUGCCCUGCUGGUGGGAAUGCAGUUUGGUGCAGCCACUGUGGAAAACAGGAUGGAGAUUCCUCAAAAGACUAGGAAUAGACUUACCAUAUGACCCAGGAAUCCUGCUCCUGGGCACAUAUCCAGAAGGAACCCUACUUCAAAAAGACACCUGCACCCAAUGUUCAUAGCAGCACUAUUUACAAUAGCCAGGUUAUAGAAAUAACCUAAAUGUCCAUCGACAGAUGACAGAAUAGAGAAGGUGUGGUAUAUUUAUACAAUGGAAUACUAUUCAGCCAUAAAAACGACAACAUAACGCCAUUUGCAGCAACACGGAUGUCCCUGGAGAAUGUCAUUCUAAGUGAAGUAAGCCAGAAAGAGAAAGAAAAAUACCAUAUGAGAUCGCUUAUAUGUGGAGUCUAAAAAAAAAAAAAAGAACAUAAAUAACAAAACAGAAACAGACUCAUAGACAUAGAACACAAACUUGUGUUU